CCAAUAGCGUAUAUUAAAGUUGUUGCAGUUAAAAAGCUCGUAGUUGAAUUUCGGGAUUAGUACGUUGGUCGUGCCUUGGUACGUACUGGUGUAACUGAUUCCUCCCUUCUGACGAACCGUUAUGCCAUUAAUUUGGUGUGGCGGGAAAUCAGGACUGUUACUUUGAAAAAAUUAGAGUGUUUAAAGCAGGCUCGCGCUUGAAUACAUUAUCAUGGAAUAAUGAAAUAGGACGUUAAUCCUAUUUUGUUGGUUUCUAGGAUCGACGUAAUGAUUAAUAGGGAUAGUUGGGGGCAUUAGUAUUCAAUUGUCAGAGGUGAAAUUCUUGGAUUUAUUGAAGACUAACUACUGCGAAAGCAUUUGCCAAGGAUGUUUUCAUUAAUCAAGAACGAAAGUUAGGGGAUCGAAGACGAUCAGAUACCGUCGUAGUCUUAACCAUAAACUAUGCCGACUAGGGAUCGGAUGAUGUUAAUUUUUUAAUGACUCAUUCGGCGCCUUACG
rnacentral:misc_RNA from 1 species